GGAAGAUCCAUCUUCAUUGCUUCACAUUGAAAUUGGAAGUUUCUUCACCUCCGCCGUCGUCAUCAUCAACUCUGUAGCUUCCGCCGUUCCGGUGAUUGAGAUCCGUCAGUCGAGAUGGGAGUGGGCUUCGUGGUCGGUGUCUUCGGAGUUCUAAUUCUGGCUCAUGCUGCUUAUUCCACCAUCCAAUAUAGGAGCUUACUGAAGAUCAUGCAGGAAGAGUUUUCAGGCCCUCCGUUUCAUGUGGCAAUCGAGUUGAUUCUAGGGUUAGUAUUGUCCGUGUGGGCUGCACUCACCGUACCAGGGAAGUUUCACUCGAUUAAUCCAGAAGCCGAGGAGAAUAGGAUAGUUUCUCUUCCUGCCAAUCAAGAUUUUAUGGUCUUCAACCACCGAGGCAGAUUAUUUCCCAAGCAAACAGAUUUGAAGCUGAAACAUUGAGAUGUCAGUCAUGACUAAAGCAGGCCUUGAGGCUUCCAAGCUGGAAGCAGAAAUGGACGUUAAAAGUGCAUAAAGGAGAUUUUGCUGCG
rnacentral:misc_RNA from 1 species